rnacentral:rRNA from 1 species
GAUGAACGCUGGCGGCGUGCCUAAUACAUGCAAGUCGAGCGAAUGGAUUAAGAGCUUGCUCUUAUGAAGUUAGCGGCGGACGGGUGAGUAACACGUGGGUAACCUGCCCAUAAGACUGGGAUAACUCCGGGAAACCGGGGCUAAUACCGGAUAACAUUUUGAACCGCAUGGUUCGAAAUUGAAAGGCGGCUUCGGCUGUCACUUAUGGAUGGACCCGCGUCGCAUUAGCUAGUUGGUGAGGUAACGGCUCACCAAGGCAACGAUGCGUAGCCGAACUGAGAGGGUGAUCGGCCACACUGGGACUAAGACGCGGCCCAGACUCCUACGGGAGGCAGCAGUAGGGAAUCUUCCGCAAUGGACGAAAGUCUGACGGAGCAACGCCGCGUGAGUGAUGAAGGCUUUCGGGUCGUAAAACUCUGUUGUUAGGGAAGAACAAGUGCUAGUUGAAUAAGCUGGCACCUUGACGGUACCUAACCAGAAAGCCACGGCUAACUACGUGCCAGCCGCCGCAGUAA